UGUGGGAGCUGGCUUGCCUGCGAUAGCGGUGCAUCAAUUAUGAGUGCAUCGGCUGACAUAUUGCCAUCGCAGGCAAGCCAGCUCCCACA
rnacentral:misc_RNA from 1 species